GAAGAAUGUUAGACACAUUGAUUAAUUAUUGAAAUAACUCACUAUUUCUAUAUCAUGGCAGCUAAGGCAAUAACGGUAUGCAUCUUCGUUCUCUUAUGCAUCAGCUCUAUUAGUACCUCACCUGCUCCUGCAUUUGCUGAUAACACAAGUAAUCAAAUCAUAGCCAGCGGGGAAGUUUCUUUAAUUGCAUUAAAUGAAAACACUAAUAACGGACACAUAGAGCUUAAUCACAAUCAAAACAAUAUUGAAAAAUAAUUCAAUUGUUUAUGUUUCGGGCAAUUAAAUAAAUUUGAUGCUGUUUAAUAUUUA